GACGAACGCUGGCGGCGUGCUUAACACAUGCAAGUCGAGCGGUAAGGCCCUUUCGGGGGUACACGAGCGGCGAACGGGUGAGUAACACGGGAGCAACCUACCCUCAACUUUGGGAUAAGCCUCGGAAACGGGGUCUAAUACCGGAUAUGACUUCCUGCUUCAUGGUGGGGGGUUGAAAGUUCUGGCGGUUGGGGAUGGGCUCGCGGCCUAUCAGCUUGUUGGUGGGGUAAUGGCCUACCAAGGCUUUGACGGGUAGCCGGCCUGAGAGGGCGACCGGCCACACUGGGACUGAGACACGGCCCAGACUCCUACGGGAGGCAGCAGUGGGGAAUAUUGCGCAAUGGACGAAAGUCUGACGCAGCAACGCCGCGUGAGGGAUGACGGCCUUCGGGUUGUAAACCUCUUUCAGCAGGGACGAAGCGAGAGUGACGGUACCUGCAGAAGAAGGACCGGCCAACUACGUGCCAGCAGCCGCGGUAAUACGUAGGGUCCGAGCGUUGUCCGGAAUUAUUGGGCGUAAAGGGCUCGUAGGCGGUUCGUCACGUCGGGAGUGAAAACUCGGAGCUUAACUCCGAGCCUGCUUCCGAUACGGGCAGACUAGAGGUAGGCAGGGGAGAGCGGAACUCCUGGUGUAGCGGUGGAAUGCGCAGAUAUCAGGAAGAACACCGGUGGCGAAGGCGGCUCUCUGGGCCUUACCUGACGCUGAGGAGCGAAAGCGUGGGUAGCGAACAGGAUUAGAUACCCUGGUAGUCCACGCCGUAAACG
rnacentral:rRNA from 1 species